UAUAGCCAAGAUUAUAUAUUAUCAAGGAUGUGAUCCUUUAUAGCAGAAUCAUUAUCCUUGAUAGCAAAACAAGAAUUUAUUGAAAUUUAAAGUGCUUAUUUCUCAAUUGCAUCUAAGUUCUUGCCAGAUCAAUGUGAAACAAGGUUUUGGACUCAAUAGUCUUGUUUUCUAGUAUCAUGAUGUGUGGUGUAUGAGAGUUUAAUUUGUUUCAGUUUUGACC
rnacentral:misc_RNA from 1 species